rnacentral:rRNA from 1 species
UGCCUGCCCAGUGACUCUGUUUAACGGCCGCGGUAUUCUGACCGUGCAAAGGUAGCAUAAUCACUUGUCCUUUAAAUAGGGACUAGUAUGAACGGCAAAACGAAAAUUUAACGUCUCCUUUAUCUAGUCAAUAAAACUGAUCUUUUCGUACAAAAGCGAAAAUAUUAAUAUAAGACGAGAAGACCCUAUGGAGCUUUAAACACGUCAUCAACUGUAAAUUAGAACUACACCCAUGAUCGACUGUUUUCGGUUGGGGCGACCACGGAGAAAAUAAAACCUCCGAAUUAAAUGCUUAGAAUACACACCAAUGCGCUAGGAUAUCUAAAUUUAUUGACCCAAUAAACUUGAUCAACGAACCAAGUUACCCUAGGGAUAACAGCGCAAUCUUAUCUGAGAGUCCCUAUCGAAGAGAAGGUUUACGACCUCGAUGUUGGAUCAGGAUAUCCAAGUAGUGCAACCGCUACUAACGGUUUGUUUGUUCAACAAAUAAAAUCCUACGUGAUCUGU